AAGGUCUGUGAUAAUGAACUCGCCGUGAUUGAUGGUUUUGUAACUUUUGAAACCAAACUUUCAUGCACUACCAUCUGAGAUCAU